rnacentral:rRNA from 1 species
UACGAGAGGCCCAAACGUUAUUCGGAAUUACUGGGCUUAAAGAGUUCGUAGGCGGCAUGAAAAGCAGGGUGUGAAAGCCCUCGGCUUAACCGAGGAAUUGCGCUCUGAACUGUCGUGCUUGAGGAACCUAGAGGUGAGCAGAACAGAUGGUGGAGCGGUGAAAUGCGUUGAUAUCAUCUGGAAUACCGGAGGCGAAGGCGGCUCACUGGGGGUUUUCUGACGCUGAGGAACGAAAGCCAGGGUAGCGAACGGG